rnacentral:rRNA from 1 species
UACGUAGGGUGCGAGCGUUAAUCGGAAUUACUGGGCGUAAAGCGUGCGUAGACGGUUGCGUAAGUCAGAUGUGAAGGCCCCGGGCUCAACCUGGGAAUUGCAUUUGAGACUGCGUAGCUAGGGUGCGGAAGAGGGAAGCGGAAUUUCCGGUGUAGCGGUGAAAUGCGUAGAUAUCGGAAGGAACACCAGUGGCGAAAGCGGCUUCCUGGUCCAGCACCGACGUUCAGGCACGAAAGCGUGGGGAGCAAACAGG